rnacentral:tRNA from 1 species
ACCUGGGUGGCUCAGUGGUUGAGCGUCUGUCUUUGGCUCAGGUUAUGAUCCCAGGUU